rnacentral:rRNA from 1 species
CGGGUGAGUAAUGCGUGACCAACCUGCCCCAUGCUCCAGAAUAGCUCUUGGAAACGGGUGGUAAUGCUGGAUGCUCCAACUUGACGCAUGUCUUGUUGGGAAAGUGUUUAGUGGCAUGGGAUGGGGUCGCGUCCUAUCAGCUUGUAGGCGGGGUAAUGGCCCACCUAGGCUUCGACGGGUAGCCGGCCUGAGAGGGCGGACGGCCACAUUGGGACUGAGAUACGGCCCAGACUCCACGGGAGGCAGCAGCA